AUGGUAAGCAAGAUGAACAAAAGAAAAAGGAUGGCUAGGGGAGCCGCUGUUUUUGUUGCACUAGCUGCAAUGGCAGUCAUUGUUCGGGCUAUAAUAAGGAAGAGGAGACCACGUAUUACCUAUGGCCCAAUGCAUGAAAGAGAUCGAAUCAGAUUUGAUUAUCUAAACCAAAAAAUUUGGCAAAGCGAUGUGUUAUGCAAAAACAUGCUAAGGUUUGAAAGAGCUGCAUUCUUUCGCUUGUGCGGCAUAUUGAGGGAUCGCAAAUUGCUAGAAGAUAGUCCACAUCUUAGUGUGGAGCAACAAUUGGCAAGGUUUUUGCAUACAUUUGGGCAUAACCUUCGGAAUAGGGUUAUUUCAGCCAAUUUUGCUAGAUCAUACGGCACAACCAGCAUCUAUUUUAGAAAGGUUCUUCAUGCCAUAGGCGAGCUUCGUAAUGAUUAUAUAAGGCCACCAUCAUUGGAAACCCCCGAAAAAAUUGUAGGAAAUCAUCGAUUUGACCCAUAUUUUAAGGAUUGUAUUGGAGCUAUCGAUGGUACACAUGUGCGAGCAGGUGUUACCAAAGAUGUGGAACCUUCUUUUCGUGGUAGGAAGGCCUUUACCACUCAAAAUGUGAUGGCAGCAGUAGACUUUGACCUCCGGUUCACAUAUGUGUUGGCUGGUUGGGAAGGGUCCGCACACGACGCGACCGUUUUAGCUGAUGCAUUAACUCGUGAGAGAGGCUUACAAGUACCACCUGGAAAGUACUACCUAGUUGAUGCUGGUUAUGGAGCCAAGCCUGGGUUCUUACCACCUUUUCGUGGCGUGAGGUACCAUUUGAAUGAGUGGGGCAACAAUCCGGUCCAAAAUGAUAAGGAGCUAUUCAACCUUAGGCACUCAUCUCUACGGGUGACGGUAGAGAGGGCUUUUGGAUCUCUCAAGAGGCGUUUCAAAAUUUUAGAUGAUGCCAAACCAUUCUUCACUUUCCCAGUCCAAGUAGACAUUAUUAUAGCGUGUUGUGUUCUUCAUAAUUAUGCACUAUCACAAGGGAUCGAUGAAUUCAUUAUACCGGAAGUGACAUGGACCACCCAACCAAUUCGAACAUCAAGGCAACAAUUAAGUGAUAAUAGGGCCUUGGUAGACCAUAGGCUACAAAUUGCUGCCCAAAUGUGGGAAGAUAGGCAACUCAUGUAUGCAAAUUUAUGA
rnacentral:rRNA from 1 species